GCCUAACACAUGCAAGUCGAGCGGCAGCGACAACAUUGAACCUUCGGGGGAUUUGUUGGGCGGCGAGCGGCGGACGGGUGAGUAAUGCCUGGGAAUAUGCCCUGAUGUGGGGGAUAACUAUUGGAAACGAUAGCUAAUACCGCAUAAUCUCUUCGGAGCAAAGAGGGGGACCUUCGGGCCUCUCGCGUCAGGAUUAGCCCAGGUGGGAUUAGCUAGUUGGUGGGGUAAAGGCUCACCAAGGCGACGAUCCCUAGCUGGUCUGAGAGGAUGAUCAGCCACACUGGAACUGAGACACGGUCCAGACUCCUACGGGAGGCAGCAGUGGGGAAUAUUGCACAAUGGGCGAAAGCCUGAUGCAGCCAUGCCGCGUGUAUGAAGAAGGCCUUCGGGUUGUAAAGUACUUUCAGUUGUGAGGAAGGGGGUAGUGUUAAUAGCGCUAUACCUUGACGUUAGCAACAGAAGAAGCACC
rnacentral:rRNA from 1 species